rnacentral:rRNA from 1 species
GAUGAACGCUGGCGGCGUGCCUAAUACAUGCAAGUCGAGCGAACAGACGAGGAUCUUGCUCCUCUGACGUUAGCGGCGGACGGGUGAGUAACACGUGGAUAACCUACCUAUAAGACUGGGAUAACUUCGGGAAACCGGAUCUAAUACCGGAUAAUAUAUUGAACCGCAUGGUUCAAUAGUGAAAGACGGUUUUGCUGUCACUUAUAGAUGGAUCCGCGCCGCAUUAGCUAGUUGGUAAGGUAACGGCUUACCAAGGCAACGAUGCGUAGCCGACCUGAGAGGGUGAUCGGCCACACUGGAACUGAGACACGGUCCAGACUCCUACGGGAGGCAGCAGUAGGGAAUCUUCCGCAAUGGGCGAAAGCCUGACGGAGCAACGCCGCGUGAGUGAUGAAGGUCUUCGGGUCGUAAAACUCUGUUAUUAGGGAAGAACAAAUGUGUAAGUAACUAUGCACGUCUUGACGGUACCUAAACAGAAAGCAACGGCUAACUACGUG